GUCUACGUGUACAAGGUCCUGAA
rnacentral:piRNA from 1 species